CAGUCGCCGCGGUAAUACGGAGGGAGCUAGCGUUGUCCGGAAUUACUGGGCGUAAAGCGCACGUAGGCGGCUUUGUAAGUCAGAGGUGAAAGCCUGGAGCUCAACUCCAGAACUGCCUUUGAGACUGCAUCGCUUGAAUCCAGGAGAGGUGAGUGGAAUUCCGAGUGUAGAGGUGAAAUUCGUAGAUAUUCGGAAGAACACCAGUGGCGAAGGCGGCUCACUGGACUGGUAUUGACGCUGAGGUGCGAAAGCGUGGGGAGCAAACAGGAUUAGAUACCCGCGUAGUCCCUGUCUCUUAUAU
rnacentral:rRNA from 1 species